AGCUUACAAUGUUGCUCAUACAAAAACAAGAGUGGUUAUCGAAAGAUGCUUUGGUGUCCUAAAGAGCCGUUUCCGUUGCAUGUCCUUGUCUGGUGGAUUCCUUCAGUAUUCCCCCAGUAAGGUAGCUGAUAUGUUCCUAGCAUGCAGCAUUCUCCAUAACAUUGCAAGGCAUGGAGGACUACAAGAGGAACUAGACACCACAGUGGAGGAUGACAUGCCCACAAUUCCAGUGGAAAAUGAUCACAGGGGAAACGCAGCAAGAAGUAAACUGAUUACAAACUAUUUUUCAGGUUAACUCAACUCUAAAAACUUUGGAGAACUAACAUAAAAUUAAGACAAGAGUACAAAAAUUGCAAAAAAAUGAUUCUUUAUUUUGUUUUUGUAUUUUCACUUUGUUUUACUUCUUUUGCAUUUAUUUUUUAUCUUGUAAAACAUUGAACAUUAACAGUUUCAAACAUAUAAAAUAAAAGUUUCACUUAAAAGUCUUCUACAAAAUCUAAAUUGUGUUUGAAUUCUUUAUUGCAACAAGUGUAAGUGUGGGUUAUACACGCAAAAAUUCUGUUCAUCUGCUAAUAAGUACCAACAUUUUUUUGACAUUAGUGAGAAGCAAUAAAAUAGAAGACCGAACUGUGUGCCAAAGACAGUUGAAAUGCUGCAGUUGCCUGAAACCAUGUCCUUGCCAGAAAGAUGGUGAAUGAAAUGAGUGCUGUUAACUGCGUUGUGUGGGAGAGGGGAGAAAUGAAAUAAAACUAAAAUAAAUACCACCAAUU